rnacentral:rRNA from 1 species
CGGGACGGGUGAGUAACGCGUGGGUAACCUGCCUUAUACAGGGGGAUAACAGUUAGAAAUGACUGCUAAUACCGCAUAAGCGCACAGGAUUGCAUGAUCUGGUGUGAAAAACUCCGGUGGUAUAAGAUGGACCCGCGUCUGAUUAGCUUGUUGGUGAGGUAACGGCCCACCAAGGCGACGAUCAGUAGCCGACCUGAGAGGGUGACCGGCCACAUUGGGACUGAGACACGGCCCAAACUCCUACGGGAGGCAGCAUG